GACAGAGGGUGCAAACGUUGUUCGGAAUUACUGGGCGUAAAGCGCGUGUAGGCUGUUUCGCAAGUCGGAUGUGAAAGCCCUGGGCUCAACCGUGGAAGUGCACUCGAAACUGCGCAGCUAGAGUCCUGGAGAGGAAGGUGGAAUGCUUGGUGUAGAGGUGAAAUUCGUAGAUAUCAAGCGGAACACCGGUGGCGAAGGCGGCCUUCUGGACAGUGACUGACGCUGAGAUGCGAAAGCGUGGGGAGCAAACAGG
rnacentral:rRNA from 1 species